GAGUAAUGUCUGGGAAACUGCCUGAUGGAGGGGGAUAACUACUGGAAACGGUGGCUAAUACCGCAUAACGUCGCAAGACCAAAGAGGGGGACCUUCGGGCCUCUUGCCAUCAGAUGUGCCCAGAUGGGAUUAGCUUGUUGGUGAGGUAACGGCUCACCAAGGCGACGAUCCCUAGCUGGUCUGAGAGGAUGACCAGCCACACUGGAACUGAGACACGGUCCAGACUCCUACGGGAGGCAGCAGUGGGGAAUAUUGCACAAUGGGCGCAAGCCUGAUGCAGCCAUGCCGCGUGUAUGAAGAAGGCCUUCGGGUUGUAAAGUACUUUCAGCGGGGAGGAAGGGAGUAAGGUUAAUAACCUUAUUCAUUGACGUUACCCGCAGAAGAAGCACCGGCUAACUCCGUGCCAGCAGCCGCGGUAAUACGGAGGGUGCAAGCGUUAAUCGGAAUUACUGGGCGUAAAGCGCACGCAGGCGGUCUGUCAAGUCGGAUGUGAAAUCCCCGGGCUCAACCUGGGAACUGCAUUCGAAACUGGCAGGCUUGAGUCUUGUAGAGGGGGGUAGAAUUCCAGGUGUAGCGGUGAAAUGCGUAGAGAUCUGGAGGAAUACCGGUGGCGAAGGCGGCCCCCUGGACAAAGACUGACGCUCAGGUGCGAAAGCGUGGGGAGCAAACAGGAUUAGAUACCCUGGUAGUCCACGCCGUAAACGAUGUCUACUUGGAGGUUGUGCCCUUGAGGCGUGGCUUCCGGAGCUAACGCGUUAAGUAGACCGCCUGGGGAGUACGGCCGCAAGGUUAAAACUCAAAUGAAUUGACGGGGGCCCGCACAAGCGGUGGAGCAUGUGGUUUAAUUCGAUGCAACGCGAAGAACCUUACCUGGUCUUGACAUCCACAGAACUUUCCAGAGAUGGAUUGGUGCCUUCGGGAACUGUGAGACAGGUGCUGCAUGGCUGUCGUCAGCUCGUGUUGUGAAAUGUUGGGUUAAGUCCCGCAACGAGCGCAACCCUUAUCCUUUGUUGCCAGCGGUCCGGCCGGGAACUCAAAGGAGACUGCCAGUGAUAAACUGGAGGAAGGUGGGGAUGACGUCAAGUCAUCAUGGCCCUUACGACCAGGGCUACACACGUGCUACAAUGGCGCAUACAAAGAGAAGCGACCUCGCGAGAGCAAGCGGACCUCAUAAAGUGCGUCGUAGUCCGGAUUGGAGUCUGCAACUCGACUCCAUGAAGUCGGAAUCGCUAGUAAUCGUGGAUCAGAAUGCCACGGUGAAUACGUUCCCGGGCCUUGUACACACCGCCCGUCACACCAUGGGAGUGGGUUGCAAAAGAAGUAGGUAGCUUAACCUUCGGGAGGGCGCUUACCACUUUGUGAUUCAUGACUGGGGUGAAGUCGUAACAAGGUAACCGUAGGGGAACCUGCGGUUGGAUCACCUCCUUA
rnacentral:rRNA from 1 species